UGCAGAGUAGGGAUCCGCGCGUGGGGCAGUGGCCCCGAAGUGCCUGACCGACGGGGAGUUGUGGCAGGACGAAGUGACCGGAAGGUCCGCGGUGCGCAUCCCGCAUCCCGCUGCU
rfam:Subdoligranulum variabile DSM 15176 genomic scaffold Scfld0, whole genome shotgun sequence.